rnacentral:rRNA from 1 species
UGGGGAAUAUUGGACAAUGGGCGAAAGCCUGAUCCAGCCAUGCCGCGUGUGUGAAGAAGGUCUUCGGAUUGUAAAGCACUUUAAGUUGGGAGGAAGGGCAGUAAGCGAAUACCUUGCUGUUUUGACGUUACCGACAGAAUAAGCACCGGCUAACUCUGUGCCAGCAGCCGCGGUAAUACAGAGGGUGCAAGCGUUAAUCGGAAUUACUGGGCGUAAAGCGCGCGUAGGUGGUUCGUUAAGUUGAACGUGAAAGCCCCGGGCUCAACCUGGGAACUGCAUCUAAAACUGGCGAGCUAGAGUAGGGCAGAGGGUGGUGGAAUUUCCUGUGUAGCGGUGAAAUGCGUAGAUAUAGGAAGGAACACCAGUGGCGAAGGCGACCACCUGGGCUCAUACUGACACUGAGGUGCGAAAGCGUGGGGAGCAAACAGG